rnacentral:tRNA from 1 species
CGCAAUAUAGCUUAAAUAAAGCAUCUCGCUUACACCGAGAGUAUGUUUGUGAAAACCAAACUAUUUCGA